CUGUCUUUUUCAUUAUUGGUGGUCGUGUGGGUCGAUUCCCGGGCCUCGUGUGUUUAUAUUUUUUUUCAUUCUCUUUUCGAGCAUCGAGGCUCCAAGGAAAACGGGCCGAACGACAGCGACGAUAGAUGGAAUAGAUAGA
rnacentral:pre_miRNA from 1 species